CCCUGCCAUUUGUACACACCGCCCGUCGCUCCUACCGAUUGAGUGAUUCGGUGAACCUUCUGGACUAGAUGAGCCUUUAAGGCUUAUCUGGGAAGUUAAGUAAACCAUUAUCACUUAGAGGAAGGAGAAGUCGUAACAAGGUUUCCGUAGGUG
rnacentral:rRNA from 1 species